GAUGAACGCUAGCGGCGGGCCUAAUACAUGCAAGUUGAACGAGAUUGUUGGUAGCAAUACUGACAUGAAAGUGGCGCACGGGUGCGUAACACGUGGGUAACGUACCCUCGGGUGGGGGAUAACAGACCGAAAGGUUUGCUAAUACCGCAUCAGACCACAGUCCUCGCGGGGACAGGGGUCAAAGGGGGCUGUCGCAAGGCAGCUCUCGCCUGAGGAUCGGCCCGCGGACCAUUAGCUAGUUGGUAGGGUAACGGCCUACCAAGGCUACGAUGGUUAGCUGGUCUGAGAGGACGAUCAGCCACACUGGGACUGAAACACGGCCCAGACUCCUACGGGAGGCAGCAGUGGGGAAUAUUGCGCAAUGGGCGAAAGCCUGACGCAGCAACGCCGCGUGGGUGAAGAAGGCCUCGGUUGUAAG
rnacentral:rRNA from 1 species